GAAAUGCGAUAAGUAAUGUGAAUUGCAGAAUUCAGUGAAUCAUCGAAUCUUUGAACGCACCUUGCGCUCCUUGGUAUUCCUUGGAGCAUGCCUGUUUGAGUAUCAUGAAAUCUUCAAAGUAAAUCUUUUGUUAACUCAAUUGGUUUCUACUUUGGUAUUGGAGGUCUUUGCAGCUUCACACCUGCUCCUCUUUGUUCAUUAGCUGGAUCUCAGUGUUAUGCUUGGUUCCACUCGGCGUGAUAAGUUAUCUAUCGCUGAGGACACUGUAAAAGGUGGCCAAGGUAAAUGCAGAUGAACCGCUUCUAAUAGUCCAUUGACUUGGAAAAUACUUUUAUGAUCUGAUCUCAAAUCAGGUAGGACUACCCGCUGAACUUAAG
rnacentral:misc_RNA from 1 species